CAUUCCAUGCUUUUAAGGAUCAUUUCUUAAGUAUGUGUCGCAACAGUAUCCGAUUCUAUUGAUCAACAACAUCAUGAUGAUGGGAGAUUGUAUUGAGUCCUGAGUGUGAAACAGGUUUUUCUUUAUCAUUUGUUCCUCGCUGUUAACAAUUGUGAGAAAUCCACUGAGGAUCAUUCUAGAGAGAUUUAAUAACUCCUUAAAGAGGGACUCAAUACUUUCUGAGUCUU